rnacentral:rRNA from 1 species
UACAGAGGGUGCAAGCGUUGUUCGGAAUUACUGGGCGUAAAGGGCGCGUAGGCGGUCUGUUAAGUCGAACGUGAAAUCCCCGGGCUCAACCCGGGAACUGCGUCUGAUACUGGUAGGCUUGAAUCCGGGAGAGGGAUGUGGAAUUCCAGGUGUAGCGGUGAAAUGCGUAGAUAUCUGGAGGAACACCGGUGGCGAAGGCGGCAUCCUGGACCGGCAUUGACGCUGAGGCGCGAAAGCUAGGGGAGCAAACGGG